UGCCGGGUCGGCUAAUGGCAAGCCAGUAGAUUUUGAUUCUACCUAUCGGGGUUCGAGUCCCUGCCCGGCAA
rnacentral:tRNA from 3 species